AACCCAUGAUGAGGGCACCUUCUUAAUAAGUCCCUGUACCUCUCCCAUGCAUCGUAAAGAGUUUCUAGAUUUAUCUGCAGAAAAGAAGAGAUAUCAUUCCUCAACUU
rfam:Gossypium hirsutum cultivar TM-1 chromosome 12, whole genome shotgun sequence